UGCAGGCGAGUACCUAUCGAGAAGCGGAUGGUCAAAUUGACUCACCAGAAACGUUUGCUUGUACGUACACUUUUUAUCUAUAACACCGGCAAGCCGAGGGGUUAUAAUUACUGGUGUUCAUCAUUGUAAGUCGGCAUGUGACGCCAAACGAAAAGGUUUUAAUAAAUAUACCUACAGCAUGGAUACCGUUACCAGGGAAAAGAACAGCGAGUAUGCCUCCAUAGUACUUCCAAAUACAGCGAUAAAAGGAGUGGGAAUCGUUACAGGGUUUUCUGGAAACAUACUGGUAUUUCUGCUGUACACAUUUUGGAUUCAAGACAAAGGUGACAGUCGCUACUUCAUUCCAUUUCUAGGACUGGUGGAUGCUCUUGGAAGUCUGCCCACUCUAUUUUAGUGAUAGCGUUGCAACGCUACCUUGUGAUAUGCAGACCAUUUGGCCGACAGAUGUCUCGUACUAGCAAUCGUGUGUCCCUAGUGACCAUUGCAGUGGCGUCUUGUGGCUAUGCUAUCCCCUUUAUCAUAUACAGUGGAGUGAAGGAAGAAAACAUUUCAUUUCGAGGUCAGAACUUCACGGCCUACACUUGCAGAAUGGUCGUGGACGUUUCUCCGUCAUCAAUCACAUACAUUACGUUUCUUUUUAUUCUGACACUGGUCAACUUGAUCGCGACAUCAUUUCUGUAUGCCCCUGUCUGUAAAGCCGUGUAUCGGGCGACAAAGCUAAUGAGGAGGAGACCACGGUCACAAGCUGAUGCGAAUCCAGAAAACUCGAUACAAAAUACCGAUCCUGUGAACCAUGCAGGCGAUGAGAACAGAGACACAGGGGAGGCGGUUCUAUCCAAGACUAAUGGCGGUAUAUCCACAAUCCGAAUCAGUCUAAUGUUCCUCAUCGUUAUAGCAGUGUACACACUCUCUUACGUUCCAAGUUUUCUGGUAAUUCUGGUUAACCAGACUCAUAAAGACUUUGAUCCGCUCAAACUUACGAACGCAGGACUUAACAUAUGGAGAUUCUUUAACACUGCUAGUUUUUUCAAUCACAUUGGUAACCCAUUCAUUUAUUGGUACUACGACAAGAAAUUCAGGAAGGCUUUAGGUAAACUUUGCGGAAAAAGUACAUAGAUGUUCUGGAUUGACCUAUUGUCGUUCCUUAAAAUUCUGUUACAGUAUUGGGACAUGGUGAGGUGUGAUUGGAAUAUGUGCAUCAAAGAAUGAUCAUCGUCGAAUCCUAGCGAAAUUGGCUUGAAAUCUUAUGCAUACUCCAGCGCAUAGUUUUUAACUACACUGUAUCGCAACAUGCCGUCUGUAUCAUACGAUAUAUUGUAGUUGAAAAUUGUUUGUCUUCUUUUUGUGAAUAGAAAAAAGACAUCUUCUUUAUCAAAACAUUGUUCUAAUUUUCUGGAAAUAAUGUGAGUAUCCUAAAUAUUUUAACACGGAAGAAA